CCUAUUAAACACUUUUGUAUACCUUGACCGGGCUGUCCCACUAACAGAAAUCCCUUGGCUUGGAAUUUGCACAGGCAGAAAGAAAGCUGGGGCUGUAGGAAGCAGCAAUAUUUACAGGAGAUAGAAUAAAACAUGUAUGAAGAAAGUAAGUGGGAGAAGAGCACUGGGACUCUUUGGAGCAUCAUAAAACCCAACUGAUGAUGCAUUAUUGUGCUUUCCCUCAUAAUGACCCAAUCUGAAUCCCAUAGCAGUGCAAACUUUGCCUCUCCAUGCAAGGAAACACAAACCCAGAAAGCAAUUGAGGAGGAGGAAGGAAAAGGUAAUUAUUUUGGUGAAGGGGACUGAACCUCAAG